CAACGUACAGGCCGUACCCUAAACCGACACAGGUGGACGAGUUGAGUAUACUCAGGCGCUUGAGAGAAGGGUGUUGAAGGAACUCGGCAAAUUGCCCUCGUAACUUCGGGAUAAGAGGGCCUGUCAUAUGCGCAAGCACUUGACAGGGGCACAGAAUUGGGGGUGGCGACUGUUUAUCAAAAACACAGGACUCUGCGAAGUCUCACAUGACGACGUAUAGGGUCUGACGCCUGCCCGGUGCUGGAAGGUUAAGGAGAGGAGUGCAAGCUCUGAACCGAAGCCCCAGUAAACGGCGGCCGUAAUUAUAAUGGUUCUAAGGUAGCGAAACUCCUUGUCGGGUAAGUUCCGACCUGCAUGAAUGGCGUAACGAUCUCCCCACUGUCUCCAACACCUCCUCAGUGAAAUUGAAUUCUCCGUGAAGAUGCGGAGUUCCCGCGGUUAGACGGAAAGACCCUAUGAACCUUUACUACAACUUUGCAGUGGUAUUAGAGAUAGCAUGUGUAGUAUAGGUGGGACUCUUUGAAGUUUGGGCGCUAGCCUGAGUGGAGAGGUCAGUGAAAUACCACCCUUGUAAUCUUUGAUAUCUAACUGAGCCCGGUGAAUCACGGGUCAGGACCCUGCAUGGCGGGUAGUUUGACUGGGGCGGUCGCCUCCCAAAGCAUAACGGAGGCGCGCGAUGGUCAGCUCAAUCUGGUCGGAAAUCAGAUGCUGAGUGCAAUGGCACAAGCUGGCCUGACUGCAAGACGGACAUGUCAAGCAGAGACGAAAGUCGGUCAUAGUGAUCCGGUGGUUCUUCGUGGAAGGGCCAUCGCUCAACGGAUAAAAGGUACUCUAGGGAUAACAGGCUGAUGACGCCCAAGCGUCCAUAGCGACGGCGUCGUUUGGCACCUCGAUGUCGGCUCAUCACAUCCCGGGGCUGGAGAAGGUCCCAAGGGUUCGGCUGUUCGCCGAUUAAAGUGGUACGUGAGCUGGGUUCAAAACGUCGUGAGACAGUUUGGUCCCUAUCUGCCGUGGGUGUAGGAAUAUUGAGAGGAGCUGUCCCUAGUACGAGAGGACCGAGAUGGACGUAUCUCUGGUGGAUCGGUUGUCGCGCCAGCGGCAUAGCCGAGUAGCUAAAAUACGGACGAGAUAAACGCUGAAAGCAUCUAAGCGUGAAACUUACCUCGAAACAAUUAUUCCCCGAGAGUCGUGAUAGACCAUCACGUUGAUAGGCCGGAUGUGGAAGCGUGGCGACAUGCGUAGCUAACCGGUACUAAUAACUCA
rnacentral:rRNA from 1 species